GAUGAACGCUGGCGGCGUGCCUAAUACAUGCAAGUCGAGCGAACGGACGAGAAGCUUGCUUCUCUGAUGUUAGCGGCGGACGGGUGAGUAACACGUGGAUAACCUACCUAUAAGACUGGGAUAACUUCGGGAAGCCGGAGCUAAUACCGGAUAAUAUUUUGAACCGCAUGGUUCAAAAGUGAAAGACGGUCUUGCUGUCACUUAUAGAUGGAUCCGCGCUGCAUUAGCUAGUUGGUAAGGUAACGGCUUACCAAGGCAACGAUGCAUAGCCGACCUGAGAGGGUGAUCGGCCACACUGGAACUGAGACACGGUCCAGACUCCUACGGGAGGCAGCAGUAGGGAAUCUUCCGCAAUGGGCGAAAGCCUGACGGAGCAACGCCGCGUGAGUGAUGAAGGUCUUCGGAUCGUAAAACCCUGUUAUUAGGGAAGAACAUAUGUGUAAGUAACUGUGCACAUCUUGACGGUACCUAAUCAGAAAGCCACGGCUAACUACGUG
rnacentral:rRNA from 1 species